rnacentral:rRNA from 1 species
CUUUACUUUAGCCUUAUAAUAAAAUUCGGUACCGUUUUUCACGGAGAGGUAGGAGCCAUAGCAGCGUGAGCGCUAGCUUAAGUGGAGGCAUUGGUGCGAUACUACCAUAAUUAUAUUGGAUUUCAACCCCGCAACUCUUAUCAUGCUGGGAGACAAUGUCAGGCGGGCAAUUGGACUGAGGCGGUAGCGUCCUGAAGAGUAUCAGAGGCGCUCAAAGGUUCCCUCAGAAUGGUUUUAACUCAUUCAUAGAGUAUAAAGGCAUAUGGUAGCUUUGCUGCUAAGUCUGCAGGUCGAGCGGGGUAGAAAGACGGACUUAGUAAUCCGGUGGUUCCGCAUGGCGGGGCCAUCGCUCAACGGAUAUCAGCUACCCCGGGGACAACAGGCUUAUCUCCCCCAAGAGUUCCCAUCGACGGGGAGGUUUGGCACCUAGAUGUCGGCUCAUCGCAUCGUGGAGCAGUAGU